UACGUAGGUGGCAAGCGUUAAUCGGAAUUACUGGGCGUAAAGCGUGCGUAGGUGGUUUGUUAAGCCUGCUGUGAAAGCCCUGGGCUCAACCUGGGAAUGGCGGUGGAUACUGACAAGCUAGAGUGCGGUAGAGGAGGGUGGAAUUCCCGGUGUAGCGGUGAAAUGCGUAGAGAUCGGGAGGAACAUCAGUGGCGAAGGCGGCCCUCUGGACCAGCACUGACGCUGAGGCACGAAAGCGUGGGGAGCAAACAGG
rnacentral:rRNA from 1 species